rnacentral:rRNA from 1 species
UACGGAGGGAGCUAGCGUUGUUCGGAAUUACUGGGCGUAAAGCGCGCGUAGGCGGCUUUGUAAGUCAGAGGUGAAAUCCCGGAGCUCAACUCCGGAACUGCCUUUGAAACUGCAUCGCUUGAAUCCGGGAGAGGUGAGUGGAAUUCCGAGUGUAGAGGUGAAAUUCGUAGAUAUUCGGAAGAACACCAGUGGCGAAGGCGGCUCACUGGACCGGUAUUGACGCUGAGGUGCGAAAGCGUGGGGAGCAAACAGG